UACAGAGGGUGCGAGCGUUAAUCGGAAUUACUGGGCGUAAAGCGUGCGUAGCCGGUUAUUUAAGUCGGGUGUGAAAUCCCCGGGCUCAACCCGGGAACUGCGUCCGAUACUGGCAGGCUUGAAUCCGGGAGAGGGAUGCGGAAUUCCAGGUGUAGCGGUGAAAUGCGUAGAUAUCUGGAGGAACACCGGUGGCGAAGGCGGCAUCCUGGACCGGCAUUGACGCUGAGGCGCGAAAGCCAGGGGAGCAAACGGG
rnacentral:rRNA from 1 species